AUGAACGCUGGCGGCGUGCCUAAUCCCUGCAAGUCGAGCGAACGGACGAGAAGCUUGCUUCUCUGAUGUUAGCGGCGGACGGGCGAGUAACACGUGGAUAACCUACCUAUAAGACUGGGAUAACUUCGGGAAACCGGAGCUAAUACCGGAUAAUAUUUUGAACCGCAUGGUUCAAAAGUGAAAGACGGUCUUGCUGUCACUUAUAGAUGGAUCCGCGCUGCAUUAGCUAGUUGGUAAGGUAACGGCUUACCAAGGCAACGAUGCAUAGCCGACCUGAGAGGGUGAUCGGCCACACUGGAACUGAGACACGGUCCAGACUCCUACGGGAGGCAGCAGUAGGGAAUCUUCCGCAAUGGGCGAAAGCCUGACGGAGCAACGCCGCGUGAGUGAUGAAGGUCUUCGGAUCGUAAAACUCUGUUAUUAGGGAAGAACAUAUGUGUAAGUAACUGUGCACAUCUUGACGGUACCUAAUCAGAAAGCCACGGCUAACUACGUG
rnacentral:rRNA from 1 species